rnacentral:lncRNA from 11 species
CGUGCAUAUAUCACUAAGAAUUGACCAAUCACAAGCUGAGCAGCACCCACAUUCCAUAAAGCCAAUCACCGAACUGCACAUGAACCUGAACCUCACACAAGUUAACCCAACAAACAAGAGAUUGUUACAUGUUUACACAAACAAAUCUCCAUGCAGAUGUGAUAACAUGAUUUUUUGUUUUCCCUUUUUAAAAUGUUCAUUCUCACCACUGUCCGGGGACCCCACAGAAAUCCCUUCGUGACCCCAUUUGGGAUUGUGAUCCAUGGGUUGGGAACCACUGAUCUAGCACUAUACUCCUUUUGAUGCAGUCCAAAAUCCCAUUGGAAUUUUUUAGCUGGUGCAUCACACUGUUGGCUCAUGUUCAACUUGUCCACUAAGACUCCAAGAUCUUUUUCACAUGGACUGUUGUUGUGCCAGGCGUCACUCAUCCUGUAUCUGUGCAUUUCAUUAUUUCUUCCUAAGUGAAGUAUCCUACACUUUUCCUUGUUGAAAUUCAUUUUGUUAGUUUUAUGUGCAGAUCAAAACUAUCACAAUAUUGCAAACUAUUUCUAUACAGGGCUUGGAAAAUUGCAUUUUAUAGCAAAAUAUUUCAUAUCCUCAACACUUUUUUUCUUUUCAAUUCCUGUAUAAUUUGUUUAGCUGGAUUUGGUGCCUUUUGGAAACAAGCUCUACAUAUAGAGAUUUGCAUCCCAAGAAAGGUUGUAGCCCUGGUGAUUUAGAAAGAGACAGCUAAUUAGCUGUUUUUCUUAAGAUUGCAAAGCAUAACCUCCUAUGGUAAUUAAAAGGACAAUAGCCCUGAAUAGUUUGAACAACAGGUUUAAGGUAAAAAUAUUGCCACAAAUUAUAUCUGAUAGGGAAACAAUGGAGACAGUACAGAAGGCAAUGUUGUCCAUUCCAGAUGACGCAGUCAUUGUGAACGUAGCCAUAGUCGUCUUGAUUACACUAGAACUCAUGAAUAUUUUUCUCCUCUUCAGUAUUGCAGGAAUACGUUGCAAAACAAUAACAGGGACUUUUGAAAGACAUACCUGGAAUGCUGUUUACAUUGAUGGAAAGUGGCACCUUUUGGACUGCACAUUUGGGAGCAGCUUUGUGGAUGAUAGCAAGUUCACUUUCAGAUAUGAUGAACUUUACUUUCUUACCCAUCCUGAUCUGUUUGAACAGGAUCAUACCCCAGAUUGCUUUAUAUUGAAGAUUUUUGUAAAGCUGGGUCUACAUAUACUUGGUAAUCUUCAUUUUGCCCUUGUCUUUAUUUAAUAGGACUGGUUACAGCCUUUGCAGAAAUAUCAGAUAUGGAAAAAGUCAAUUCCACAAGAGAAUCAUUAAUUCUGUCAUCAUAGCCAAAAAUAUCUUGUGUGCUUUUCAAGCCACCACACAUUGUAGAGCAGCAAGAAUGUGGGUGAAACAAUAUUUAACAAAUCUCUUGGGAACGAAUGUAAUCAUGUACAAAUACACUGGGAUAACCUAAAAUGUGUUCUUUGCCAUUGCUACACUAUCAGUUCCUGUGCAGUGUGCUCCAUUUUUGAAAUGGGAUAGCCUGUAGAUAUUUUGUUUUUGGAUACAUGGGAAAGGGAAGAGUGCUGACUCCAGGAUGUCAACGUUUUGGUGGCUGUUCUACUAUAUUUGGCAACAGAAGGAAAGCAAAGGGCUAAGUGGAACAAGUGCUGAUGGAGUUUGUAAAGGGGAAAGUGUGAGGGACAAGAUUUGCCAGCUGUAUAUUUUUAUAUUUAAACAAGGUACAAAAAAAAGAAAAGGUAUAACUCUGAAUGAAAACAUAGAGGACAUAUCAAUGAUACAUUAACAGGCAACACAUACCAAUGACUAGUAUUCAACACUAUUGUGUUCACAAAAGUAGUGUAUCAUGAUUGCAUGAAGGAGGGGGCAAGCAUGAAGCCACCCCUCCAUUAAAACCUUUUCCUAUAAAGCUGAAAAGGUCUUCUGAAAUGUGUUUUGGGUACCAAAGAUGGGCUUUGAGAAAAGGGCAGAAUUCCUGAAUCUGUUGCAAGUGCCACAUUGGAUUUAUAACAAUGUGACUAUACCUUAAGUGGUGACUGUAGCACUAUUCUUUUAUCCAUAUGAGUGUCGAGAGAGCAUACAAAUACAAUUUUAAAAAUCAAACUUAUAAAAACAAGAAAAAUUCCAAAUACAUAAUCAAAGUGCAGAAAAGCAGUAAAAACAAAAUAGGUAAAUCCAGAACUAUUUUGUAAAACAUAAUAGUUUGGACUUAAUAUCAAAAUGGUUUGCAUGUAUGUGAGAAGGAACAAAAGAAAGAAAGAGUCCCAAAGAUUGUUACCAUGGAGACAUGAGGUAGGCCUUUUCAGAGCUGGAGAAGGGAGAAAGUAGACAGGCAGCAGCUUCAACGACACCUGGACAAUGCUGAGUAUAUACCCUAGUUAUAAAUAUUGAAUGAAUGCCAUCUGUACUAUACAUGAUUUCAAAGUCUAUAGUUUCAUCUUUCAAGUUUUAUCUAAUCUCUUGUUUCUUCAACAGAAUGGGUAGAAUGGAUCUGGAAAGGGAUCUCAGAAUGUUAUCAGAAUAUUGUUGAGCCAAUUUACAAGAAAAUUGCCAGUUGGUUUUCUUGUAAGACAUCACUGCAAGAACUUUCGUCUUUUUUUCUGUGAAAAGUUACUAAAAAUUAAAUUCAUCAACAUUUUUAACAAUCGGCAUUAAAAUCUAUCAACUAAUUAAUAGAUCAAUAAUACAGUAGAAUCUCACUUAUCCAACAUUUGCUUAUCCAACGUUCUGGAUUAUCCAACGCAGUCUGCCUCCUGCUUGGAUCUAAAGCUGUUUCUCUAGGCAGCAAGGACUGAACCUUUUACACAUUUAAUUUUUGACAGUGUUGUUACUGUAAUGUCAUUUUAUGAAAUUCUAUUUUUAUUUGUAGUCAAUUUGUUAGUAGCCAAUGUUUUUGUAGUCAAUGUUUUCAAUACAUUGUGAUCUUUUGGUGCUAAAUUCGUAAAUACAGUAAUUACUACAUAACGUUACUGCUUUUUCUGUUGAUUUGUUGUAAAACAUGAUGUUUUGGUGCUUAAUUUGUAAAAUUAUAACAUAACUUGACGUUUAAUAGGCUUUUCCUUAAUCCCUCCUUAUUAUCCAACAUUUUCACUUUUCCAACGUUCUGCCGGCCCAUUUAUGUUGGAUGAGAUUCUACUGUAUGUGGAUGUGAUUUUAAAAUGAUGUAACAGGCAAGCAUCUGUUGCUUUGUUUGCCAAUCUGCAAAUGGAUAUUUUAAUAUAACUUUUCACAGUACCAAAUGAUGAGCUUCUGUUCCUAAUCAUGGGUUGUCAUUAAUAUACUCAAUAAAAGAAAACCAUUGAAUCCUCUUUGUCCUUUUGAUGUUGUCUGUAGCUCUUUCCAGUGAAAUUAAUCAACUUCACAGGACUGACCAUGUUGUCCAAAUGCCCUAUCACCAUCUCCCAAAGCGGUUACUAUACUCUCAAUUCAAGAAUGGAAAACAGAAUGUUGAUGAAUAGGAAAAGACAUUUAAAGAUGGGCUUAAAGCCAAACUUAAAAACUGUGACCCAAAGAACUGGGAAGCCCUGGCCCUUGAGCACUCUAACUGGAGGUCAGCUAUUAUCAACAGUGCUGUACAAUUUGAAGAGGCAUGAAUGGAGCGCGAAAGGGAUAAAUAUGUCAAGAGGAAGAGGCAUCAAGCCAAACUUUGUCGAACCGCUUUCCAUCUGGAAAUCAAUGUCUUCACUGCAAAAGAAAAUACAGAUCAAGAAUAGGUUUCUAUAGGCACUUAUGGACCCACUGCCAAGACCCUACACUCAGAAGGCAGCCAUACUUGGCCACAAGUGAUAGCCUAUGAUGAUGAUGUUUUUCCAUUAAUCCUGUGUCCCGCAUUCUCUUUCACAUUCACUUUCUCAUUAAAAGUCUCCCAUUUUCCAGUUCUUAAUGCUUUUUUUUUUACUUAG